CUCUAUAUGUUUAUAUUUUGAGCAGCUGGGUACAACUACAGUUGCAGAAUCAUCCAACCAAAUUUUGGGAGGAUGGCAUAAAAGAUUAGAUAACCCAUGCUUUUGAAAUCAUGGUAUUCUAUUUAUGCUCCAUCCCGAAAUCUAUUGUGCACUGCCAAGUCCAUGAGA